GACGAACGCUGGCGGCGUGCUUAACACAUGCAAGUCGAACGGAAAGGCCCUGCUUUUGUGGGGUGCUCGAGUGGCGAACGGGUGAGUAACACGUGAGUAACCUGCCCUUGACUUUGGGAUAACUUCAGGAAACUGGGGCUAAUACCGGAUAUGAGCUCCUGCUGCAUGGUGGGGGUUGGAAAGUUUCGGCGGUUGGGGAUGGACUCGCGGCUUAUCAGCGUGUUGGUGGGGUAGUGGCUUACCAAGGCUUUGACGGGUAGCCGGCCUGAGAGGGUGACCGGCCACAUUGGGACUGGGAUACGGCCCAGACUCCUACGGGAGGCAGCAGUGGGGAAUAUUGCACAAUGGGCGGAAGCCUGAUGCAGCAACGCCGCGUGCGGGAUGACGGCCUUCGGGUUGUAAACCGCUUUCGCCUGUGACGAAGCGUGAGUGACGGUAAUGGGUAAAGAAGCACCGGCUAACUACGUG
rnacentral:rRNA from 1 species